AGCAGCCGCGGUAAUUCCAGCUCCAAUAGCGUAUAUUAAAGUUGUUGCAGUUAAAAAGCUCGUAGUUGAACUUCGGGGUUUACCCAUUGGUCAGGCUUAAUUGUCUGUACUGGUGGGAUAAAUCUCUACCUUCUGAGGAACUUUCAUGUCAUUAAUUUGGUGUGAUUGGAAAUCAGGACUGUUACUUUGAAAAAUUGAGUGUUUAAAGCAGGCUAACGUCUGAAUACAUUAGCAUGGAAUAAUGAAAUAGGACGGACUGAUUCUAUUUCGUUGGUUUCUAGGAUCACCGUAAUGAUUAAUAGGGAUAGUUGGGGGCAUUAGUAUUCAAUUGUCAGAGGUGAAAUUCUUGGAUUUAUUGAAGACUAACUACUGCGAAAGCAUUUGCCAAGGAUGUUUUCAUUAAUCAAGACGAAAGUUAGGGGAUCGAAGACGAUCAGAUACCGUCGUAGUCUUAACCAUAAACUAUGCCGACUAGGGAUCGGACGAAGUUAAUUUAUAAUGACGCGUUCGGCACCUUACG
rnacentral:rRNA from 1 species